GUCUAUGGCCAUACCACCCUGAACACUCUGGAAGCUAAGCAGGGUCAGGCCUGGUUAGAACUUGGAUGGGAGACCACUUGGGCAUAUCGAGUGUCAUAGGCU